rnacentral:misc_RNA from 1 species
UUUCCGUUGGUGAACCAGCGGAAGGAUCAUUACAGAGAUCGUGCCCUUCGGGGUAGACCUCCCACCCUGUGUUAUUUACGUAUGUUGCUUUGGCGGGCCGCCUCCGGGCUCGCGGCUUCGGCCGGGGUGUGCCCGCAAGAGAAACCACUACCCUGUGAUUAGUGUCGUCUGAGUAUUAUCAAAUAAGUUAAAACUUUCGACAACGGAUCUCUUGGUUCUG